UGGAUAGCCCUCCCUCUCCCCCAGCCCUUUAAAGUUAUAUAGAUAGGACUGCAGUACUCCAAAGCUUUGAGAAAGACUGGGGAGGUGCAGGAGGAGAAGGAGAAAGGAGAAGCUAUUCAACAUUUGUUUGAUGGUUUCUUGUAAACAAACAUUUUAGUAGUUUUGCCAAGGUCUCUGUAGCUGGCCUCCUGACAAAAGAAUAACUGUUCAGAGAGAAUCAGCAUGAGGCCAUUCAGCACAAUAAUACUCUUUUGGAGCCUCAUACAAACGUGGCAGAGAGGGUGGGUGUGCACUACAAAUCAAUCUCUGGGCUUUGACAGGGUGCAUUAUAAAUUGGAAGGGGAAGGGGGAGUCAGUGGAAACAACGGUUAUCCAGAGAUCCUCAUAAAUACAAGGUUCCAGGCAUUGCAGCCAUGCUGAGUUUGCAGGAUGAUGAACUGAACCAUAAACACUGACUCUGAGCGUUGGCAAGGCAGCAGAACGGCGUUAGGAAUUCUCUCCUGCAUUGGAACCUAACCUUAUUCUGAACUAUAACUCAUACACAGGAGAUACAGAUUGGGCCACAGUAAGAGAUUAAAGAAAACAGCACACAGCAGGAUUCUGCAUGUGUUCAAAGAUGAUUUGUUGCCAGUGCAUUUCAGAGCUUGAUUUACUCUAUCCCCUUUUCAGGUAAUAACUAAAACAUGUCCAAUCUUAAGAAAUUUGAAUUUUCAUAUUUUGAGAAGAAUUUAUUAUUAUUUAUUGCCACUAUCAAUGAGUUACUUGAAUUCUGUUCUUAAAAGGAAGAUGCUCUUUUAAAGUAAAGCCCUCUUAUAAGAAAGUUCAUUUAACUUUUACUUAGUUCACACUAGCAAGGUAGACCAAGAAUUCUUCAAAUUAAAGCUAAUCUAUAGGUAGAAGCAAGGAAAACAAGUUAAAAGCAAAGGUUGGUUGAAGUACUGCAUUUCAUUAGCAGGUCCUAAGAGUAAUUGAUCGGCAGCAAUUAUGCACUAAGCUGUCACUAAAUUAUGAAAAUAAACCUCUUCUGUACAGAAGUCAGCUAAUCUUUCUAUUUAUAAUACCCCCCACCAUUCUUUUACAGGCAAUUUCUUCUCAUGGGAAAAAGCUAGAGGAAUCCAUCCAAUGGGUAAUCACACAGCUAGUGGCAAGUCUGACUUCCCUUCUAAAAAUCUCAGAUAUUGGUCUAACUUGGCAAGCAGAAGUUAUCUGAAAGCACCAGAAGGACAGCAUUGUUUCAAGACUAUGCAAAUCAAGUGUGGGAAAGUUGCACCUUAAGUAAAUAAGAGCACUAGUGCAUGUCUGGGCAGUGAGUGGGAGGACAGAAUGGACUUCAAAGCGCAGCAGCAGAAUUCUACAUUCAUCAGAGCCUACUGACAAGAUUUCAUCCCAGCUAUUAACCUCUCAGCACUCCAAGCCUGGCUCACAAUGGUGACUGCAGCUACUGAGGUGCAUCACACGACAGCAGCAUUUUAAUCAGCACCUUAUCUGGUUACAGGGCGAUUUUCUCACGGAGCCCCACUUGUUGAAGGCUAGUAGGGCACUGGAGGUACUGAAGUAGGAACUGAAGCUGGAAUAAAAGCCAUGGAUGAGAAUGCAAGCCUCUCAACUGCACAUCUCACACAAUGAGCUGAGGCCCAACUUUACCAGCUUCCCAACUAGUUUACUUCUACUGAGGCCUUCAUUCCACAACGAAGCACCAGAAAAAGCAGUGCCUACCCAGAGGACAUCUUUUACGUCUCCAGGACCCAGAAACAGUAAGAUUUGUCAUUAAAAAGAGGGAAAGGCCAAAUAUUUUAUUUUUUAAAGAUGGAAGUAAGACAUUCAAAAAACUUUUUCCAUCAUAUUUUACACUGAAGCUAUUUAGACGCUGGAGGGUUUUUUCCACCCUCGAUAGUUUGCUGUUGGGCUGGUGCAAUUGGCCCCAAUAUUAAAUAAUUACAAGGAUCAUAAUUUCAGGAUAAACAAGCCGUUUGAAAGUAGAGCUGAGCAUACCAAAGGAACUGCCAACUUUGACCUGCUUCUUACUCACAGCCUCAUCAAAUACGCAAAAAACCUCUCUUCACAUAAAAGCGGAGUUUACUGCUAAGCUUUGCUUUGUUAUCCAUGUGUGGCUCCCUGAAGGUACAGCAGGCAUCAGACUAUGAAUGCCGUUUGAUUCCUUAAGAAAGGCAAGAGAUUUGAUUUAUGCCAGAGAAGAGCAUGUGUCUACCAAACAAAACUUGUUGAGACUGACUUUGACAAGUGGAACAUGGAAAUUCUUUUGUUCCAUACUUUCCUGUAUGGCUUCAUAAGCCAGGCCUGCCCAUCAAGAAAAAUCAAUCAAAUCUCUAAAAGAAUGCAUGGAUAAAGCCUAGCUGUGUGUGUAUAUUUUAAAAAUAUUAUUAUCAUUGCAAAUUACUGUAGAAUUGCAAGCUACUGCAGGGAUGGCUUUCUGGAUGCACUCUGGUGUGUUUUUUUCUGCUGGUCUGCUGCCCUGUUCCCUAGCAACUUUGUCAAACUUCCAAUCACUUAAAUGAAUUUAUGGCCCACCAUCUCCACAGCCAUUACUCACAAGGAUACAUAUCAAAACUGACAACAGCUAACUGUGUGAGUUUGUAAUAAGACUCCAAUGCUUCAAAUCUACAUUACAACUACAAGCCAAAUCUAACAGUACAUUUACAUUACACACCAUUUUCUUUUGUUCAAAACCUCCAACACAACAUACCUAUUUCUGACAAAAGGCCAGUGGGGCAGCUUGACUGGGAAGAAGUGCUUUGUC